AGAGUUUGAUCCUGGCUCAGGAUGAACGCUGACAGAAUGCUUAACACAUGCAAGUCUACUUGAUCCUUCGGGUGAUGGUGGCGGACGGGUGAGUAACGCGUAAAGAACUUGCCCUGCAGUCUGGGACAACAUUUGGAAACGAAUGCUAAUACCGGAUAUUAUGCGAGUCUCGCAUGAGGUUCGUAUGAAAGCUAUAUGCGCUGCAGGAGAGCUUUGCGUCCUAUUAGCUAGUUGGUGAGGUAACAGCUCACCAAGGCGAUGAUAGGUAGCCGGCCUGAGAGGGUGAACGGCCACAAGGGGACUGAGACACGGCCCUUACUCCUACGGGAGGCAGCAGUGGGGAAUAUUGGACAAUGGACCAAAAGUCUGAUCCAGCAAUUCUGUGUGCACGAUGAAGUUUUUCGGAAUGUAAAGUGCUUUCAGUUGGGACGAAGAAAGUGACGGUACCAACAGAAGAAGCGACGGCUAAAUACGUGCCAGCAGCCGCGGUAAGAAACGGCUU
rnacentral:rRNA from 1 species